rnacentral:Y_RNA from 1 species
GGCUGGUCUGAAGGUAGUGAGUUAUCUCAAUUAAUUGUUCACAUUCAGUUACAGAUUGAAUUCCUGAUUUACACUUUCUCCACUUCUCACUACUGCACUUGACUAGUCUUAA